GGGGGGCGACUGAAUGAAGGGGACAGAUUUUUAAAGCCACCCAUGAGUUUGAGAAAUUUCAGUUUCUGUUCCUCAUUUUCAAAGCCAGCAGUAUCCCAUUGGCCAAACUGAGUUCCCGUCUGCUUCAUGGUGUCAGAAGCUUCUGUCCUGCCCGACUCACGAUCGAUCUCUUCUUGCAAGGCCUUUCGCCUCACCUGGUCUAUGUGCGCCUUGUCCAUGUUGCCCUUCUUUUCCAACACUACCUCCAAGUCCGUGUCUGGCUGCUCCUCCCAAGGUUCUCCUGCUACUCUGCUCUCCUGCCUCUUCUUCCUCUUCAGAGCUGGCUCCUCAGUGUCUGCCUGCUCUGCCUUUUUCUUGGACUUCAUUUUCUUCUUCACAGGGGACUUGGGGUCAUCUCCUAUUGGGAUGUAUUCUGGAGCUUCAACUUUGACUGACUUCUUUUUACUUCCUUUCCUACGGCUGCUCUCUACAGACCUGGAGAGCUCAGAGUGCCCCAGGGGGAUAUCUCCCUCCUGGUGGAUUUUCUUUUUCUUCUUCAACUUCAUGUUGUGUUCCCUGGGGCUCCCCUGCUUCCAUUUCUGUCCCGAGGCUGCCUGCUCAGGGACGCCACCUUUCCCAGCUGAGCAAGUGUACAAAGCAUCCCUGGCCUCACAGAACCAAGGGUCCCUGGCUGAGAAGGCUGUAGCUCCCUGCGCCUUCUUCUCCUUCUUGUGUUUUUUGAGCUUCUUACCAGCUCUGGUCACCCCCUCACCCUGCCUGGGGUCUGGGGAAGUCUUCACCCUUGAGCCAGGGGCAAGGACUUUCUCUUCUUCUUUUCCCUACCGAGGGACUCAGAUGGACCAAGUGCCUGCUUCCUGGGGCUGGGCGAUGGCUCAAUCUGUCUGGCACGUAACAUGGUCUCAGGUUCUAGGGGCUCCUCGCAGACGGUGCUGUGACCCUUCUUUUUCUUCAUUAGAGGCAUUUUGGGUGCCUGCUCUUGGACCAUAUUCUUCGAGGGUGAUGUGGCUCUUGUGGGACAAGCCUCCGCAAAAUAACUGUCACUGUUUAAAAUCGAGUGUUGAGUCUCUGGUUCUUUAACUACCUUCUUUUUCUUCUUCUUCUUUUUCACUGGGAGCCCAAGGCCCAGGUCUCCCUUGUGAGUCUUAGUGAUCAUUCCCAAAGGCCAAACUUCCCCGCCUCCACGUGAGAGCCCGUUCCGCCGUCCAAAGUAAUUAUUGAUAGGUAAGGGUGUACUAUUGUCAUUUGUUGUUUUGUUUUUGGGUUUUUUGGUAGAUUCUUUGUUUCUUCUUAUCCUGCUGGUUUCUUUCGUGAUUAGAUGACUUUCAUUAUCUGUAUUUUGACUUUUUAUUAUAUUCUUUUUGUAUAAUUACUACAUGUUUUCCCCC
rnacentral:lncRNA from 1 species